AACCAUUCUCACCUGCGGCUAGACCUGCGGAAGGAUCAUUAUCGUUGGGCUCCUGCCCAUUCGAGAUAACACCCUUGCCUUUUUGAGUACCUUUUCGUUUCCUCGGCAGGCACGCCUGCCAACGGGGACCCUUCAAAACGCUUUGUAAUACCUGUCAUUGUCUGAUAUAACAAGCAAAAAUCAAAACUUUCAGCAAUGGAUCU
rnacentral:misc_RNA from 1 species